rnacentral:rRNA from 1 species
GAGUGCUUGCACUCAAUUGGAAAGAGGAGUGGCGGACGGGUGAGUAACACGUGGGUAACCUACCCAUCAGAGGGGGAUAACACUUGGAAACAGGUGCUAAUACCGCAUAACAGUUUAUGCCGCAUGGCAUAAGAGUGAAAGGCGCUUUCGGGUGUCGCUGAUGGAUGGACCCGCGGUGCAUUAGCUAGUUGGUGAGGUAACGGCUCACCAAGGCCACGAUGCAUAGCCGACCUGAGAGGGUGAUCGGCCACACUGGGACUGAGACACGGCCCAGACUCCUACGGGAGGCAGCAGUAGGGAAUCUUCGGCAAUGGACGAAAGUCUGACCGAGCAACGCCGCGUGAGUGAAGAAGGUUUUCGGAUCGUAAAACUCUGUUGUUAGAGAAGAACAAGGACGUUAGUAACUGAACGUCCCCUGACGGUAUCU